UCUCCUGUAGCUCAACCGGCAGAGCGCCGGAUUGUUAAUCCGGAUGUUACUGGUUCAAGUCCAGUCAGGAGAGC
rnacentral:tRNA from 1 species